GGCCGUCAACCCGUAGAUCCGAACUUGUGUUCGACACUGUGACACACAAGCUCGGCUACAGGUGGACGGACU
rnacentral:pre_miRNA from 14 species